UACAGAGGGUGCAAACGUUGUUCGGAAUUACUGGGCGUAAAGCGCGUGUAGGCGGCUUUGCAAGUCGGAUGUGAAAUCCCACGGCUCAACCGUGGAAGUGCAUUCGAAACUGCAAGGCUAGAGUCCUGGAGAGGAAGGUGGAAUGCUUGGUGUAGAGGUGAAAUUCGUAGAUAUCAAGCGGAACACCGGUGGCGAAGGCGGCCUUCUGGACAGUGACUGACGCUGAGACGCGAAAGCGUGGGGAGCAAACAGG
rnacentral:rRNA from 1 species